UUCUAGAAAGGUUGGAGUUUGUGAAAUUACUGUUAAGUUUCGCAACUGUGUUUCCCUCACUUGUUUUUUGGAAAUUCCUCCUUUAUUACUUGGUCUUUUCUUUUUUCAUUUCUGUUUUCUGGUAAUAAUCUCCUAUAAAACAUGUGCGCAAGUUCAUCAUUAUCUGAAGUCAGUUAGCACUGUAUCUUGCAAGACUUCAAAACUGCUUGCCUUUUCUCAUCCACCAUCCCUUUAUUUUGGUUGACUUCAGAUGUUAAACAUCCUUCUUAUGCUCAACUAAAGGAGUUGGAAAGCCUUAAUUAAAGGCAUGUCUGGUUAUGCCAAGUUGACAAUGCAUCUUUUAAGUGUCUGGAAUCUUAUCCAUAGCCCAGAUUAUGAUAAACUGAUAACUCUGCAACUAACCUUAGGCCAAAAGUAGUAAUAAUAAUAACUAUGUUUGAUGCAUAAUGCUAUUCCUAUUGGGACCUUACCCGAGUAUGUUGUGAUCACUUCUGAAAGCUCUCAUUGUGGCCAGGAAAUCUACUAGUUAAGAAAUUGGUGUAUUUGGUUUAAAAUUUCCUCCUCAUUCCUUUCCGUGGCUCACAGACUUUUGGCUCACAGAAGUGCAUCUUUUUUUCUUUGUUUAAACUUCAUGGUUGCAUGGCUUAACUUUUUUCUGAUUCCUUGAUUGUUUACUUCGUUAUCUUGGGAGAUUUCAAGACAAAAAGCCAUUAGCCACAUAGUUUUUAACACUAUUGUCGUGUGCCAAUCAUUUUUGUCUUAGGGUUCCUGUAUUUGUCCUCUAUAGAAAGCCGGUGAAUUGGAGUGGGAUGUGAAAUUAAUCCAAUUGUACUCUUUUAUUACAGAGACAGGAAUUGUUUGCUAUGAAAAGGACAUGGAGAGGAAAAGGCUUACCUGAUUGGUUGCUUGGUGUCAGCACAUGUGCCCUUUUCCUUCUGAAAGAGGGAAUUGUACUGGACUAGUGGUGCUAUCCUGAAAUGUAAGUCGACCAUUUGAAUGCCUUAUCUGGAAGAUGUCAGAUGCAUUUUCUGAAACAAAAUGAAAACUAAAUUAAAUCAGUUUAUAGCUAUAGCACAAUCUAAAAUAUUAGUAGCUUGGUGUAGAUGUCAGCAAAUGAUUCAGUUACUAACAAAUUGUUCAGCAAAGUUAGUUCCAAAACACUCUAUUGAUAUGCAUGCCUAGUAUGAACAAGUUUGAUGCUUAGCUCAAUUGUGUUCAUUCUUUUUUCCUUUAUGGCCCGAGAGGCGCAGCUAGGUCACUAUUAAUUUGUUAUAGUCUUCUUGAAAGUUUUUUUUAGGUAUAGAAAUGAUUAGGAACAGUCCCAUUCUGAAGAACAUAAAGUACUAGGGAGAGCUUGAAUGUUACCCCUAUAAUUAAUGACAUAGAAAGUAUAAGUUCUCAUUUAUUUGUCACGACUAUUUUACUCCUCCAUCAAGGGUUAUGUUGGGAUAGAUAGGAUUCCUCCACACUUAAUCAGAGAUCCUGAGUUCAAGCUCCAGAUAUAGAAAAAGUCCUGCUCAGAAACACUUCUUACUUUAAUGGGUGUUACAUAAUGCAGAUUCGAAUUAGUUUAGGCUCCAAUGUAGGUACCGAAUACCAGCUAAGGAAACGAAGAAAAGACACUUGCACUUUCUUGAGAAUGUUGGUAGGAAUGUGUUCAAAUCAGGCAUUUUCAUUAUUUGAGCAUACUGUUUAUUGAAGUUGAAAAGACACCAAAUUAAGGAAUCUGUAUGGUAGAUGACUUGCUAAAAAUAUCUCCAGGACACACUCAUUUUGAUAGUUUUAAAGGUCCUUUUGACCUUGAUGAGACGCAAAGUGCUAAUUAAUCCUACCGACUGUGAGUGGUACCAACAAACUUUAGGGGUCUCAACCACAAACUAAGCUAGCACUAUAGAGUAGUACAGUAUUAACUAACUUGUGUUUUAUUCAUCUUCUUUUGGUUUGGUAUAUGAUCCAUCCAACAAAUGAGCCGUCAUACUAGGCUGUCUGAUUAGGUCAUGACUUCUUAACUACACACGUUUUGCAUCUUCCUGCCAAACAAUUUAUCUUAUCCCAACAGAUACUUUAUUGUUACUCUGGAAAAAAUUUAACAAUCAUAAGGUGAAACUGACCCUCAGUAAUGCAUUUGGGAUGCGUAGUAGUGCCUAAUUUUUGACAUCACUGAUUAAAGAAAAACAAAAGGUCACAAAAUUGCAUAAUUUUUACCGCAUUCUUCACUUUUUGGCUAGGAACUAGAUGGUCUCUAUUGUCCAUUUUACAAUGAGGCUAAUUUGAUAGCUGAUAAUUUAGCCAAUUUGGUCUUUAUUUAAGAAUUUUGCUUUGAAUGAUAUUCACAUCUAUCUGUCUGCUUAGGGGAUAUUUUUGGGGUCUCAUCCCCCGCCCCACCCCUCUCAGUUUUGGACUAAUUUCUUAUUGUUUUAAUUCUGAUAUUAAAAAAAGAGUGAAGUGUCAAAAAUAUAUCUAAAUUGUUUAUUUUGUUUAGUUUCACACCUAAACUAUUCCUCGUAUAAGUGUGAGAAACAUAUCUCAAUGUUGACUAGAUCAAUUUUGGACAAAUUUUGAGUUGGGCUUGAUUUCUGUAUUCGGUUCUCUUGGACAAAUUCUGACUUGGGCUUGAAAGUUGGAAUCACAGUGGUCACCAUGUUUUGGAAGAAUUAUUAUAUUAAAUAGCCACUUAUCAAACUGUUUAAAUUGAAAAUAGAAAAUAGUUGAUAAAUGUAUAAUAAAUACAUUUAUUCAUGGACAAUAUAUAUUUAACCAUAUAAAUAGUAAUGUAUAAUCGUUAAUGUCUACUUAGCUUGAUAGAAAAAGUAAAUGGUAAAUUUGGCUGACUAUUUGUGAAAAGAUUCUAAUCUUAUAUCCACUCCUUCUUAAUCAUAUUACAUAGCCUUUGAAAUCAAUGUGGCAACAAUUUUACAAGUUAAAAUUUUAAAAUAAUCAUUUUUGAAUUUAUAAUUGAAAAAUAAUCAUAGUCAUUAAAAAUAACUAUGUUUUUAUUAUGGAUUACAAAUUUUAAAAAGUGAAGCUCCACAAUACCCCGGACAUAUUUCAAAAUUCAUGAUAGUAUUUUCAUUUGUUUAAGUUGAAAAUUCAUAACAUUAAAAGUUCAUAUUUAUCAAUCAUUUUGUUUAAGUUGAAAAUUCAUAACAUUGUAAUGGUGUUUUCGCAUUAAAAGUUCAUAUUUAUCAAUCAAUUUUCAAACACGAGUUUUUAUUUUUAUUUUAAAUGGAUCAGAAAAGUGUCUAAGUCAGUACACUUCUUACAUUUUACAAUUACAACCAAAUAAAAAAGAACUAUAAUUUAUACCACACUUUUAAUUUCAAAGGACAGUCAUAUAGCUUGCUCAUUACUUAGCAGAAGAUCAUAGGCUUUACUACAUCAUAUGUAAUUAAAUAAAAAUGAAAAAUAAAACCUUUUUUUAAAGAAAAAACGAAAGGAUGUACAGAGAAUUAACUUAUACUGAAUUUAUAACCCUCGUUUUGAGAUGUAUAGGUUGAAGAUUUUCUCUAUAGAAAUAUCAUGUAUUUAUCCAAAAUUAUUAUUUACUACAUAUAGGGGUGUGCAUUCGAUUUUUCGGUUUGGUUUUAUACUAUUCGGUUUGGAUUUUCGGUUUUUGGUUUUGAAGAAGUGUAACCCAAUCUGAACCAAAAUAAAUUUGGUUUGAUUUGAUUUUUCACUUUUUGGUUUGAGUUUAUAUAUAUAUAUAUAUAUUUAUUAAAUUUCUUAAAUAUACUUUUUAAUAUGAAUCACAAGUAAAACGUAAAACACUAUAUUUAAAAGUAUAUCAAUUAUAUCAACAGAAGGUGAGCCCCCAGUAAAAAAGGGAAGAGGAAGACCAAGAAAAACACCAAUUGCACCUCUAGCACCUCUUACAUAUCCAACACUUAGUGCUCCUCCUCCAUCUAUUGCAACUUUUUGCCUACUACUGGUAAAAGAGGAAGACUAAGAAAAACACAUCUUGCACAUCCUGCAUAUCUUGAACAUCCAGCAGCUCCAGCAUCACCUAUUUCAUUGCCAACUACUUGUAAAAGAGGAAGGGGCAGGGGAAGUGAAAGCACAAUCCCAUACAAAAGAUCAUCAAUUAUGGGAAUGGGUGUGUUUCAAGUUGAAAAUGGAUUCAAAGCAUUUAAUGUGAGUAUUUGCUACUAAUUAUAUCAAUCAUCUUCAUAAAUUAAGUUUUUCCUACUAAUUAUUUUUCAUAAAUUGGGUGCAGUCUGGCAUGCCAAGCUUUAAGAUACUAUCUACUGGUGCAACCAAAGUGACAAGAUCAGCUGACAUAACUGGUGAUAUUGGUUUCAAACCAAGUACAGCAAGCAAGUUUAAAUGGAAAGGGAAAUCAGCAAUAUCAACAAGAAAACUUCAAGAAAUGAGUGAGCAACAAAGAAAAAACCAAAAGGAAGUAGUUCAAACAAUCCAAGUCAAUCCAAGGAGCCAUGAAAAAUGUAGUAUUGUAGCAUUGUUUUAAGCCUUUUGUUUUUUAUGUAGAAUAUUGAUGUAUUAGUACCAAACGAAUUCUGUUUUUGUUUGGGUUGUGACUGACAAUAUUUUCUCUAUCCCUUUAGUUUUUGAUGUUGAAUGUUGAUAUAUUAGUACUAAACGACUUCUAUUUUCAUUUUGGGUUGUCAAUGACAUUCUAUGACAAUAUUUUCUCUAUGCCUUUUGUUUUUGGGUUGUGACUAAACGAUGUAUUAAAGCAUUCUAUUGUUUUCUUGUUUGCUUGAAUAACUAAUUUACAAUUACACAAUCAUCUGUUGGAAUCUUCAUUGACAUAAAUAGAGACAUAAAUACAAAGCAUUACAAGAAAAAUAAAAUUCCUUAUUACAUCAAAAUCUAGCAUAGGGUACCUUACUAUGACAAAGCAAAACGUAAUUCUUUAUUAUGCCAAUUCAACUAGAUCAAUACUUGAUUCACUACUUUGGAAUAGGUUGUUGAUAAACAUAGCAACAACACAAAUCAAAACACACAAAAUGAUUCCAAUAGAACCUACACCUUCCAAUAGAACCUACACCAUUAUUAUUGUCGAUCACUUGCUCAUUGAUUUGUGUCUACCUCCUCAAAACUUCUUCUUCCAACUCUUUGAUUUUGUUCACCAAUUUUGGGAGAAUAAUUUUUGAUCUUGGGUCGACAUCUUCUUUGUCUCUCCAUCGAAAAAACUUACAAUUCUUAGACUGAAAUCAAAUUAGUACAUUAACAUCAAUUAAAUUCAAUGAAAUAAAUAAUAGAAGAAGAGAAAUCACAUUCAUCAUAGUAGGGGCAGGAUCAAAAUUGCCUUCCGGGAUUUGACUUCGACCAAGAAGUUUGCAUAUGCAGUAAAACGCCAUGUUUGCACCACACAACGGCUUUGAGCAUUGAGUCUGAUUCUUCCAUACUAAGCUUAUUCAAGUUCGCAUUUGCCAUUAUUUACCCUAACAAAGCAAAAAAAAAAACGAUGAAUUUGAAGAAAAAAUUUGAACCCUAACUAUGAAAUCAGAGAAAUUACAAGCCCUAAAUCUUCAAGCUUUUUCGAAAUUGAAACUACAAUUGAAUGCUUUGACAAGUAAAAUCAAGUUUUAAGCUGAUUUGGGAGAGAAUGAAGGAAUAUAUUGUUGGAGAUUUGUCAACAAUUAGAAGAAUUGAGAAAAAGAGGAAGAAAAAGAGAGUUUGAUUUGGGAGAGAUGAGAUUAUACCGUUGGAGAUUUAAUAUAGUUGAUUUGGACUGACACAUGUAAUUUUCUACAGCUUUUAACAUUUUAUUUUCUAUUCUUACGUGCCUAAGGGAGUUAGUCUCACCUUCUUGGACAUGUCAGCAAAGAAGGGUGAGAUAAUAAGUAAAAAAAAAUGUUCAAGGGGGUAAUAAGACCCCCGUAAAGUAUAAAUGUGUAGUUGAGAAUCUGACUAUAGGUUAGGAGGGCUUUUGGUCAUUUUCUCUUAAAUUAACAAGAACAACAAAAUAAAAUUAGGUGUGAAAAAAAAAGGACACAGUAAACACAUUAAAAAUAAUGAUUGUUUAAAAUUGUCAGUGACCAUAAAAAUAUGAUUUAUAAUUUUUUGUUAUUUGUUUAAAAGGAAAUUUUUUAUUUUGGGAGAGGCACACAUACUGUCAGUUGUGUGAGGCUUCAUUUGGCUGGCACAUAUAUACUGUGGGACCAUAAUGUACUUAUUUUCCUACUUUUUCUUUUCCAAUUUUAAUCUUUUCUUUGGAGUACUUUUUCUUUCUUACUUGCAUUUUUUUUUUUGCUUGUUAAUUCUUAGUGUAAAUUUUAUUUUUAUUUUUGUUUUAAUAAAGAAACUUUGAAACUCACCCACUGUAUCUAUUAUAUAUUUUAUAUCUCUAUUACUAUUUAUUUGAGGGGAAAUUAAAGUAAUAUGUCGAAAAAAAUUAAAUUUAUUUAUUUUGGAUGAAUUCAAGAAAAUUGAGGAUAGUGAAAUUAAAAAAAAAUGAAAUUUCUUCAAUAAAGUAAAAAUUCAUGUAAUCAACCAAUUGAACUACUGAAAUUCAAUCGGCAUUUUUUAUUACACUUAAAUAUAUAAUUUAAUUUUAAUUAUUUAAAUUUUAGUCAUUAAUUUUUUAUUUUUUUUGAGAUUUCAAUUUUAAUCACUCAAUUCUUAGUUAUCAAAUAUGUUUUUUUAUUUUUGUUUAUGAUUUAUAUUAAUAAUAAUGUAUUAAUGAUAUCAAACACUCAAUUAUAUUUUCCUUUUCAGAUUUGUUAAAUUUUCCACUUCUAUGGCAUGUAUCCAAUAAAUAUUGUCAAUAUUGAUUUUGUGUUUCUCGUUAAAUUUUUUCUUUAUGUUUAGUAUCUUAAAAUGUGAAACGAAACUUUUAUAGAUUCAUUUUUUUCUUGUGUGUUACGAAAAUUAAUAGAAAAAAAGAGUCAAACAAAUGAAUUUGUGAAAGCAGAGGACUAAAAAAAAAAAAUUGUAAAAAAUUGGUGAAGGAAAGGGUAAAAUUUGAGAAAAUGGAAGUGUGAGGAGAGAAAAAGUGUGAUAAUAAGAGGGACCCAUAGACCAUCAUAAAAUUUUUCGUUUAAAAGUAAUUGGGGAGUAAAAUGAAGUUGGAGUUUGGGAAAAAGAUAAGUAGAGGCAACAUAUCAUUAAUUUUCAAUUCAUGCAUUAUGCAAAGGGUUAUGGGCGGCCAUGCUCUUAUCACAAAAGCCGCCGUCUUUUCCGGGCUAGCCUCAAAGAACGUUUCCUUAAUUAUUCAACUUGUCACUGAAUGUUUUACAUUUGACUUAAUUUAUUAUGGCUAGAUAUAUUAAUUCAUCAAACUGAUAUUUUCCAAUAAGAGUUUACCCAUUAUAUAUUACAUAUACCACAAAUUAGAGUAAAUUACUUUUGCAAAAUACAUAGAUAUUUAUGAGGUGCGAAUAUGUCGCUCUAUUUGAAAAGAUUAAAGUUUAUUGUGAUAUAAUCUUCACUGAUUCAACAUUAUAACUUUUGAUUUCUCUUUUCCCAAUGAUAAAACAGCUCAACAACGUAGUAUAACUCAAAUAUAGUCAACUCCUCUCAUAUGUGUCGAUGUGAGACUUCUUAUCAUAAUCAAGGGUACUGUCACAUACACGCUUUCUUAUGGACUCAAUAUCUUAGUUGAGGUUUGCCCCACUGACUAAAAUUUGUCUAGAUUCAACAUUGAGGUUUGUCGCACCUUAUCGAAAUUUAUCUAAACUAUGUUAUGCUCAGACCCACGACGACAAGGCUGAUAUACGAGUGCCUCUAAUACCAUUUAUAGUGGUCUAGCCCGCUAAUAAUAUUAUUUAAUAUGAGCCUAGGCCCACACAAUUUUAUAACACAUCACUAGUGUGUCAGACCUGCUUACUUAUAUACCUAAUACUUCUCGUUUGUGCCAUUGUGAACCUUCUUAUCCUAAGUUGGAAUGUGACACUAAUUAUGAUACACUUAAUAUUUUUUAUUUCUAAUAUUAAAACACACAAUAAUACUAAAAAUUAUUAUUUUAUUGUUAAGACAAAAUAUAGAAUAUGAAUUGAAUAUCAAAAGAUAAAAAUACCGUUAGAGUAGACAAUUAAUGUGUUAAAUCCGCAUAAUAUUAUUAAUUAACUGUAACUCACACAAAUUCAUGUUUUCUUUUUUACCAAUAUAUGCGCAUAAAUAAAAAUAAAAAUGUAGUUUAUAACAGAUUUGAUUAUUUGGAGUCUUGGACAUAUCACCACUGCCAAAAAUGCCAACGUUUUCUGUGUUUGGACGUUUGGACAUGUACCGCUAUGCAAUUUUUUAUUUUUUUUUAAUUACCACUACUUUAAAUCUGAUGAUUUCAAGAUAAUAUUUGAGAAAUCUGAAUAGUUCAAUUGGUUGGCUAUCUAACUUUUUACGUUGUUAGUGAUUAGUGAGAGUCCGAUUCUUCACCCAAUCAUUUUUCCCAUUCUCCUAACUCCCAUUUACAAUAAUAAUAAUAAUAAAAAAAGAGAAGUUGAUAAUGUUUGACAAACUAAUAAGUAAUAAUGCUUAGAAUAGUCACAAAAACUUGUCUUGUUACGUUGUUUCCUUUUCACAACACUUAAAUAAAAACACCAACAAAAACAAAAACAAAAACAAAAAAGUAUUUAUUAUUGCAUUAGUGUGGGGGACAAGUGCAGAGAUAGCUGCUUCAGCUUCGAGCAUCACUGUUUAUAGAAUAGCCCAACAUUACAAAUUAUUUAGUGUAUAAUCGUCUCGGAAUUUAUUGUACAUUUGUACUCAUAAAUUAUAUAAUGCAGCUCUUGUAUACAGUUUUUUUUUUCCUCCAUGCAGGUAAUGUUAUUUCAAAGCUGAGAAACCACUUUCACUUGCUGAAUUUUGGGCCUCUUUAGUUCCAUUGAAAUCAAAACGUUUAAAUCUGUUUAUUAAGAGAUGCAUUGAAAUUUAAAUUCUGAAUCUAAAUACAAAUUUGAAUAUUAAAAUGUUACAAAUGUUAAAUAAUUAAAAUUUUACUAUAAUUUAUCUUUAUUUAAAAAGUAGUAAAUAUAAAAAUACUAAAUUACUAAAUUAGUAUAUCAAUAAAAUAUUUUAUAAAAUUAUAUGGCAGGUGGUGGUUGUAAUAACUACGAUGUUAGGUAAUAGUGAUUCUAUGGGUAGUAGUAAGUGAUAUGAUGGUUGACAAUAAAGGUUGAUGGGUUUGGGGGUAUAAUUUGUGAUGGCGGUUUAUAGUUGUGGUGCAUGAUAGUGAUAACUAAUGAUGAUGGUGAAUCAUAAUCGGUGGUGGAUGUUUGGCUAUGUAUAAUAGUGUCUAAUGUGGUGAUUGUCGGUAGAUAUAGAUGUAACUGGUAACUAGUAGAGGUGAUGGUUGACUAUAAUUUAUAAUGCUUGACACAAUGAUGAUGACAGUAUUGAGUGGUGAAAAGUUGUAGUUAAUAAUGGCGUAUGGCGGCGGCUUAUAGUUACGAUGCAUGAUAGUGAUAAUCAAAGAUGGUCGUGAAUCAUAAUCGAUGAUGGAUUUUUGGUGAUGUGUAAUAGUGACAUAUAUGGUGAUUAUUAGUAGUGAUUUAUUGUCAUUAGUGAUAAAUGUAAAUGAUAGCUAGUAGAUGUGAUGAUUGACUGUAGUUUAUAAUGUUUGAUUGAAUGGUGAUGAUGGUUAUGGUUGAUGACCGUGGUAUCGAGUGGUGAGUCGUGGUAGUUGAUAAUGAUGGGUGGCGGCAACUGUAGUUGAUAAUGAUGGGGAUGACAACAACACUAAAUGAAUGGAAUAAACAUCUCAACGAUAUUAAGACUUCACGACAUAUCUUAAUCAUUCGAUUCUAUUAUGAUCCAUCAAGUGAUUGCAACAUAAAAAACCCACAUUAAAUGUUUACAUAUAUAUGAUGAAAAUUCAAACAAAAAAUAAACAAAUUCAAUGAUUGAGAUCUGAAUAAUUAAAAAUUUAAAACGAGGCAUUAUUUUGGAAUAUAAACAGAUUUUCAAACCCAAGUUCAUGACCCAACAAAGAUACAAGUUGAAACCAAAGCCCAUAAUUAUAUGGAACGAGAACCAAACCUAAGCCCAAAGUUAACUGGAAAGAAAACCCUAGAGCCCAAACCUAAGCCCAAAUAACAAUCACAUAGGAGGAUGAUAACCUCCAUCGACGACCAAAUUAUGGCCGGUGAUAAACUGAGAGUCAUCCGACGCCAAAAACAAGACAGCAUCAGCUACAUGAGAAGCUCUAAGAGCUCCAAUUUUCAAGCAAUUGGAGGAUUCAAACAGUUUCUCUAGCUCCUCUACACCCAUUUUCAUCAUUUUCUCUAACAAUGGCGUUGCCACUGCUGCUGGAGAAACACAGUUCACUCGUAUACCAUACGCACCCAGUCCUUUACUUGCAGACCUCACCAAUCCCAGUACUGCGUGUUUCGACAUUGCGUAGUCAAUUAUCGUCGUUACCCCCAUCGUCGCCGCCGGGCUCGCCGUGCAUAUUAUCUUCCCUUUUACCCCACCUUCCACCAUAGCCUUUGCCGCGUGUUUCACGCAAGCGACUGACCCACGAACGUUGACCGCGAAUAGGUUAUCUAAAGCAUCCAGAUUGAACCCUAGAAUAUCUUGUGCGUGCUCGUUGUGGCUUGCAAUUCCGGCGUUGCUGAACAUUAUAUCGACUCGACCGUGAAUUUCCACUGUUGAUUGUACCAGGGAUUGGACUUGUUGCUCGUCUGUAACGUCACAUUUAAUGAAAGUGCAGUGAGUGGACCCGAUUGAUUCCGCAACCGAUCGACCUUUUUCUUCUUGGAUGUCAGCAAUUACUACCUGAGCGCCAUGUUGAGCAAACAGAUGUGCUGUCGCUUCGCCGAUUCCGCUUGCUCCUCCGGUGAUGAUGGCAAUUUUACCGUUCAAUUUUGGAUUGAAUGAUGGUGGAAUUGGGUUUUCCAUUUUCUUUCGUCUUUUUUGGACGCACUUUGAAGGUAACAAACACUUUGGCACUUGUGUAUUUAUAUUCAACAAACUGUUUGUUGGAAGAGGAAAAAAAAAAGACAUGUGCAUACCUAAUAAUUAUAAUUAGGUAAAUGCCAACAUCAGUUGAAUUUUGGGAAUUAUUGAAUUAGCAGAAGUACCCUCAAAUUUGUCAGUUCAUAUGUUGGAAUCAUUAAGAAAGUAGAUCCCACAGCUUAUUGUAGCCAGCCAACCCUGGACCCCGGAGGGUUGGGUUCAUCUGAAUUCGUUUGAUAGAAAAUUAUAUCAUGUGUACAGGGGCGGACCCACGUGGUAUCCAGGGUUUCACCCGAACCUCUCGGCAAAAAAUUACAUGGUAUAUAUAAGGUAAAUUUUCUAUAUUUCUGUAGAUAUAUAAAUUUUGAACCCCUCAAUAACAAAGAGAAAUUGAUGGCGCAGUGACAAGUAUCCUGAAAUUAAGCUGUAUGUCACUGGUUCGAAUCCCAGUGAAAGCAUUUUAUUUUUUUCUUGUUCAGUUUCAGUUUUUUUAGGUUUUUAUUUUUUUAUUUUCAGUUCUGUUUUUCAAGUUUUUUUUAGUUUUUUUUUAACUUUAAAAAAUGUGCUAAAAGUUUGAUUUUAAAACCAAAAGAAUUCAAGGUUUCCAUUUCUAAAGGCUUAUUUACACGUUUAUACUUUUAUUUUUCGAACCUCCUAAACGAAAAUCCUGAAUCCGUCACUGUGUGUAUAUAUAGUUAGAUAUUGCAUCCAUUUCAACUUAUUCACGUGUUUACUUUUCAUAUUUUGAAGUGAAAAUUUUGAUUCCACCACGGAGAUAUAUUUCAUUUUCUUGUUGUAAUCCAGCAAAUUCUGCCCAUUCAGGCAAAAAAAACUUUGGCUCACAUGUAAUAGGAAUCUCCACUUCACAAGGAAGAUGUCUCUAGUUUUUCAACAUGUUAUCUGCUAUAAACUAGUAAUUUAAAUAAACAAUAACAGCUGUGUUUUGAAGUAAUCUCGUUUACUUCUAAAAUCAUCAAAUGCCUCCUUUGCCCUGCCUAUUACCAUCCUCAAAUUUACAAAAUGGCCGACCAGAAAUCCUGAUAUAGAAGUCCCAAGUUAGAAGUUUUCCAGUCUAACAAGGAAGCUACACCAGUGUCACCUUUAAAUUCUGGAAGGACGAGGAUGUUCAAAUUGUGUGGAAAAAUCUGGAUCUCUGAUUUUGACCCUGUGCACUAAGGGUGUGUUUGGUAGGACGGAAAAUGAUUUCUUAGAAAAUAAGUGGGUUUCUUACUUAUUUUCUAGUAUUUGGUUAGCAAAAGAUAUUGGCCAUAAACAUUUUAUAUAAUCUAGACAAAAACUGAUGGGGCGGGGGUGGAGUGUAGGAAUGUGGGGAUAGGGUCUAUGAGGUGUAGUGUGUUGAAGGUUAGGGAGGAGACAAUUAAUGUGGAAUGAGGGGAUAAAAACAACAAGUGGUGAGUGCUUGUUCAUUACUAUUUUCAGAAUGGUUUUGGUUACAUAGUUGACAUGGAAUAAUUUACUGUAUAAUGAAUUUAGUUGCUUGGUUCAUUUCAGUUCUUUUACUGCCAACAUUUUUUUUUCUUCUGUAUAUGUGUCUGUUAAAUUUCUUCCUUCUAUCACAAAUUGUUCUAUCUUUGUCUUGAUGCUCUUCUGUAAAAUGAGGUUGUUCAUUAUAGUCACUUAUCUAUAUAGAUCAGUCGGUUUCUACUUCACGUGAUUGUUGUCCUUGGCUGUCUUAGGAGGGUUUUCAACUCUCUAGUUCCUUCUUUUUGGUACUUGAGUUAACCUGUUAAUUAUAUAUCUUAUCAUCUUGUGGACCUCGUGUCUGCAAGUUUCCCAUGUGGGCCCUCAUAUUUUAUGGGAAGCAUACUCCAAAAUUCUCCAAAUUGAGUGGCUGGAAGUUCUUAAGGUCAUAGCCAUUAGCAUUUGCUUCCAUCUAGUCACUUGUCUAUAUAGAUCAGUCGGUUUCUACUUCACGUGAUUGUUGUCCUUGGCUGUCUUAGGAGGGUUUUCAACUCUCUAGUUCCUUCUUUUUGGUACUUGAGUUAACCUGUUAAUUAUAUAUCUUAUCAUCUUGUGGACCUCGUGUCUGCAAGUUUCCCAUGUGGGCCCUCAUUAUUUAUGGGAGGCAUACUCCAAAAUUCUCCAAAUUGAGUGGCUGGAAGUUCUUAAGGUCAUAGCCAUUAGCAUUUGCUUCCAUCUAAUCUCCUGUCAAACUCUGUUGCGUAAGCAAGCAAUUUUAAGUAGACGACAGAAAAUUAAGAAAAUGUAAAAGUAUUAGAAUGUCCAGAGUAAAAAUAAUACUAAAUGUUUUUCAGUUUUACUCAUUCAAGUGUUAUCAAGUUGAAGCGGCUAGCCUUUUCAAUUACGCAGAAGCAGAGGGAUUGUAAUUUUAUGGUUCCCUUAAAAAUUAUUGAUGUAUGCUUGAGAUCAAUCAUGAGAUUUUUUCCUAAGUUCCCCGGAAACUGGAACUUAUGAAAUUCUAAUAUGUGAAAUUCUAUAGUCCUCACACCAAAUUAACCUGUUCUAAAUCUUGUACCAUGUGAUUUAAGUUUUUUUUAUUUUUGGAAUAAAGACAUGAUAUUCCAUUUCUCAUUUUGAAGUUUAUGUUUUAGCAGCUUUAUUUGCCUAUCUCAUAGGAGUCAUCUUGGCAAAUUAUCUAAACUUUGUUGAUCCAAUAGCUUCUAAAUUUUUCUAGGAUAUUUUGGUUAAUAUGAUUGGAUAGUAGAAUAAAUCCAUCAUUGAUUUAAACAUAUGUUGCAAGCAAUAUUGAAAUACCAAGACACAUCAUGUCUCCUUUGAAUUUUUUUCCGGAUUCUCGAAUGAUUUAUUCUUAUCCGCUUUCAGGAUGGUUCUUUUUUAUUUUUAGACCAGGGAGGGAAUGGGGCAGGAAACAGUGCCAGGUAUGCCUAAGACAUUUCCAUAUGUGAUGAUGGAAGUUCCGAAAAUCUGAAGAUACGUACUUUGUCAGGUCAUUCUAGUGAUGUUUUUAUCGAUUGCUAACUUUAAUAAUAUUGGUGUCCGGACCAGCUUGCGUGCACCUCGACUAAUUCCAUGGUACCUGUUUCUUCGUAUAUUUAAUUAUGUCAAAAAGCAGUUAUUAGAAGUGUUUAGCUUAGGUUCCAGUUUUAGAUUUUCUAUUGCAGUGUCUUAGUGUCACAAACUUAAGCAGUAACCUGUAAGCAGCCUCCUAAAAUGUGCACAAAGAGCAUCUUUAGAUUCAGGUAUACACUAUCACUAUUGCAUGCUUUUCCAAAACCUUGUGUUGGGUGCUUUGAGCACUGCUGCUCUUUUCUAAAUCAGACCCGUAAGAACUUAAUAACUUCAGCACAUCUGAAUGUUAUUUUGCAUUACCACAACAGAAGCUUGAUACUAAACCGGUAAUGAUUGAUGGAGGUGGUGUUAUUUUUUGCCAUCAAAUUGAAGUGUUACGAUUAGGCUUCUGAUUUCAUGACGUGGAUUGCAAAUUUACAAGGCAUUAUUAGUCAUAUAUGGAAUGUUGAAACUUCUAGAAAGGUUGGAGUUUAUGAAAUUACUGUUAAGUUUCACAACUGUGUUUCCCUCUCUUGUUUUUUUUGAAAAUUCCUCCUUUAUUACUUGGUCUUUUCUUUUUUCAUCUUCUGUUUUCUGGUAAUAAUCUCCUAUAAAACAUGUGCGCAAGUUCAUCAUUAUCUGAAGUCAGUUAGCACUGUAUCUUGCAAGACUUCAAAACUGCUUGCCUUUUCUCAUCCACCAUCCCUUUAUUUUGGUUGACUUCAGAUGUUAAACAUCCUUCUUAUGCUCAACUAAAGGAGUUGGAAAGCCUUAAUUAAAGGCAUGUCUGGUUAUGGUUGACAUCUUUUAAGUGUCUGGAAUCUUAUCCAUAGCCCAGGUUAUGAUAAACUGAUCAUGCUGCAACUAACCUUAGGCCAAAAAUAGUACGAAUAAUAACUAUGUUUGAUGCCUAAUGCUAUUCCUAUUGAGACCUUACCCGAGUAUGUUGUGAUCAAUUCUGAAAGCUCUCAUUGUGGCCAGGAAAUCUACUAGUUAAGAAAUUGGUGUAUUUGGUUUAAAAUUUCCUCCUCGUUCCUUUCCGUGUCUCACCAACUUUUGACUCUGUUCCUGUUGCAUAUUUUUCUCUACUUACUGAGCAGAAGUGCAUCUUUUUUUCUUUGUUUAAAC
rnacentral:lncRNA from 1 species